CAAGAAGUAGUUUAAUUAGAUAUCAGCUUUGG
rnacentral:tRNA from 1 species